rnacentral:rRNA from 1 species
GAUGAACGCUAGCGGCAGGCCUAAUACAUGCAAGUCGAGCGGCAAGUUGAGAAGCAAUUCGAGACCUAGAGCGGCGUACGGGUGCAUAACGCGUAUGCAACCUACCUCGUACAGGGGGAUAGCCCGGAGAAAUCUGGAUUAAUACCCCAUAGUACAUAUAGAGGGCAUCUGAAAUAUGUUAAAGAUUCAUCGGUAUGAGAUGGGCAUGCGUCUGAUUAGCUAGUUGGCGGUGUAACGGACCACCAAGGCGACGAUCAGUAGGGGUUCUGAGAGGAAGGUCCCCCACACUGGCACUGAGAUACGGGCCAGACUCCUACGGGAGGCAGCAGUAGGGAAUAUUGGGCAAUGGUCGGAAGACUGACCCAGCCAUGCCGCGUGCAGGAAGAAGGCCCUCUGGGUUGUAAACUGCUUUUAUCUGGGAAGAAAAGGCCCGUGCGCGGGACAUUGCCGGUACCAGAUGAAUAAGCACCGGCUAACUCCGUGCCAGCCGCCGCGGUAA